UGCAGUAUAUUGUCUAAUUGAAAAAUGCGCCACGUCAAUGCCGAGCUUGAAAUCUCGGCCUCCCUGAGGGCUACUCUCAACAAACAAUGUACACAUCUUCUGCACUGGAAAGAUUAGGCUUCUCCCCUUUCUCCGUUAUUAAUUCAGGCCAAUGCCAGAGUUUCCUUCCUUUGCCUUUCUCGGGUGACGUCACCCUACUGGAACUGUGGUCGGAGGUAACAAGUUCUCGAGUGAAAACUUCAGCGUGGGAGGGAAGGCGUCAGGGCCAGAGGGUGGGGGUUAGGCUGACGGCCUUGAGGGACAGCACUGGACCAAGCUCGAACCUUGUAGCGGGGAGAAGAGAGCCGGGGCUUCUAGCCGUGGAUGGUGGGAGAAAUCGUUGCUGACGAUAACACAACCUGAAACGGAGAGGGAUCUUGUGGGAAUGCAGCACUAGGGAAAGUCACAGAGGCUCGGGCUCAGAAAGCAGACCACUGAAAGCCAGAAGCACAGACAAAAUGGGAAGGGUGCACGUGCUUCUCAUCGCAGGGAGGACAGGGCUGUAGACACGGGGCCCAUGGCAGCCCUUGAGGGAGACUGGAAGGCAAGGAGAGAGCUGAUACAGACAAACCUAAGGAAGUGAUGGGGAGACCCCUCCCCCAAUUCUCCAUUAUGGAAAACAGAGAAGCACGGGCCGAUCUACAGAAGUGUGGGUCUAGAAGGUCCUUAGAGAUUUUUUCUAGUCUUUUACCUAUCCUCAUUCUGUGUUCCACUUGACCCCAGUGGCAUGAAAUCAGUCCUGUGUUUGUAGACUCUCUGUAGGAAAUAACUCGUAACCAAUGGGGCUUUUACCAGCCCUCACCGUCAGGAAGACCCCCCCCCCCUUGUAUCAGGAAAAAAAAAGCCUCUUUUCUCUUGUCCUGUCAUCACGGAAGAAGGAGGACACCUGGUCAUUACAGAAGAAGCCCAAUGAAUCGCUCAUUUAAUUUUUUGCUGGUUUAAUUGAGCUGUACCUCGCAUUUGCUGGAAACAGACUCCAGGGACUUCUCCAAGUUCUUUGAUUGCACUGGAAUCUUGAUGAAUCAACCUCUUCUUUGAAAUACGAGGACUAUUGCCCAAGAUAAGAAAACUGAAGCCCAGAGAGAUGAGAAGAUUUACCAAGCUACACCCGAGACCUAGGAUCCAAGGCUCUUUGCCAUACACACUCCUGCCUUGGAUGAAUGACAUUCUGGAAAUGCAACGGAUAACUAUUACUGUGGCAAGUAGUAUAGAGAAGGGACAUUAGAAACUGUGACAAGGGCAAGCCAGUUUGACUCGGCACGUUGCUUGAACCUGAGGCUUCCUGGAUGCUAAAUUGCAGGAGAUUACAUGUGUGGACUGAGCCCUGUUUUGGGGGAUUAAUCUCCUCGCCCACAAGAAAGUGAAGAACUCCGCCGUGCACAUUUAAGUACUACUAUUCAGGGAACUUGGAGAGGUCAUUUACCAAAUAGCUCCUUUACCCUUCCCACCAAGAAUUCACUACUUUAAUUGAGGGGAGUGGUUUUUUUGGAGAAUUGGCCGGCCCGACAUAAAGUGGCAUUGUAAACUUCAA